CCCUUUCUCAGCUUCCUGCACCUCUCCUUCCUCGUGGGUAAAAGGAUGUCCACAGAGACUGAUGUUCCAGCUUCUGUGUCUACUGUGGUGGGCGCUCCAGCACUGGGCAUGGUUCUGAGGCCAAGCAUUUUACAGCAACGCUGUUCCUUCUUGGAGGGAAUUUGAAGAAUCUCCAGGAGGGCCAGAGAGUAGACUUGGAUGCCACCCAGCCAGCAAUAGAGAAGUUGGGACCACCCAGCCAGGGACAAGGCCACACCUCAGCCAUCACCACCCACAAGCAACGCAGCAUGUAUGAGCUGGGACAGGACACCAGAAACUACCUCAUGAUUGCUCCGGAAGAAGCAGCUGCAGGUGCUCAGCCAUCUUUAUUUCCUGCCACCCCCAAACUAUGAAGACAGCAAAGCAGCCUGUGGAGAGGCUGCUCACAGAGGCAACCCCACCCUUACUUGGUGAUGGCACGUGGAACUCCACCUCCCAGGUGGAAAAUGGAAAAAUUGUUUCCUUCUCUGAUCUACUGCCUGAGCUGUCAUCAGGAUUUUGAGGACUGACUUAAUGAAUAAAAUAUAAAGGCUUAGCGUGAGCCUGGGAUAUGCAUGGUGGAAGAGAAUAAAUAGCCUUUUGUAUAUCAAAGAUACUUUCUGGGUAACCCAAUCUGAGAAAUAGCUACUUCAGCCACAUCUGCUGUUAGGGAAGGCUGAGAAAAUAGUGACUAUAAAAUGAAAUGAGGCUUGUAGGUGAACCACAUGAAAUCCUGUGAACCGGGGAGAAGUCACCAGCUAUUACAAUGGAGUCUAGCUAAGAAGGGGCACGUGGGGGUGGGGAGAUCGUGACCAAUCAACAGUGCAGCUUGAAAAUGUGGGUUUUCUCUUGGGAAGCUUCAUUCCCUGGGAAGGAAGAAGCUAUAACGAAACAGGAGCAAUGAAGCUUUGCCUGGAGAGGAUGCUGCUCACAUUUGCAUGUUAAAUGAACUGAGGCCUCUCCUGGCUCCCCUUGGAGGGCUCUCAGAGGCAGCUCUAGCCUCAGAGGGUCUCUUGCCCACAUCUUACUCUGGUUCAGAGCCCACAUCCCCAAAGAGAGCCUUGUACACAGCAGGUAUUCAAUCAAUAUUUGUAUUAAAUUGCAUUUUAAAAGCUGAUUACUUGAGUGACCCCUUCCCCUACCCACCCCCAAAGACUGUCCUCCAGUAUCUCUUUGUGCAUAUCCUGAAUUCAAGCUGCAGUGAGAGGCUUUAGCAAGAGAGAGAAAACCCACUCUAAAAGCUUCAUUUGCGACAAUUUCCAUUUUAUUUCUCACCACCACCAGCCUUUGGACGAACAGGUCCUAAAGAGCUAUGGAAACAGCAUCGUGGAAACAGCACGAUACAGUUAUUGAAUGACUGGUCUGGGCCAAGCAUUAUUCUCGGCGCUGGGGAUGCAGCAGGGGGCCUGGAUCAUACUCAAGGUCACUAGAUACUUGUUACAUGAGUGAAUGAAGUCAUUCAGUACUCAUUGGCUCCACUGGGCUCUGACUUGCUGGGCAUGACAAGCCCACCAGGGAGCCCUGGAUAUCCCUCCUCUUUCCAAGCAGCUGGGGAAGCUGGUUGCCCUGGAAACCUGUUUUAGGUGGCAGCAUCUUCCUCCAGGAGGUCGAGGUGUCUCCUGGACCUUAGAGACUCCAGGACACAGGACAGAGCUCUGAACUGUGGAGCCGGGAAACCUGGUUCCAGUCUCAGCCCAGAUUUACCAGCCGUAGACUUGGCCAAGUCACUCACAAAACCCAAAGGGUGAGGCAGAGCUGGCCCUGCCUGCAUGGCAGGGAGAUUUUGAGAAGCAUGAAGAGAGUCAGGAAGUGCCUGGGGAUCGAAUCCACCCAGCAGUGCAAGGCAUUGCUCUCCCAAUUCUCCAUUGGGAAAAAAAAAUCCAGACAAAGACAGUACAGAGAAUAUGGUAGCCAAUACUGCAGCAGUCACCACCCGGAAAAACAGACACUAAUAUAAUAACUUGUGAUUUUUGCUUCAUAUCUCUGUGGCAUAAAACCAUGACACAUAAAGUUUAUGUCCCCCUUUAACCAUUCCUCAAUGCUAUUCCCCUCCUCUCUCCCCCUCCUCAACGGCAACCACUGAUAUGUUCGCUCUAUUCUGUGCUUUUCAUAUUUUAAAUAUAUUGUUUAUGGGAAUGAUCAUAUAUAAGAAAUAUAUUAUACUGUUUGUUUUAAAAGUUUGCAUAAAUAAUAUCAAAGUAAAUUAUUUAAGUGUCCCCAGCAGUCCCUGUCCCCGUCCACCUUUCCCUCAGUUCUCUUCCAUCACAGUAAAGAAAACUGCCCAAACCUGGUCACCGCCCCUGGACUUUCGAAGUGGCUUCCUACUUGGGGUCCUGCUUCCAACAUUGGCCCUGUGAGUGACAAGGAUCUCAUUCCUUUUGUGCUCAAAGCUCUGGCCUCUCUCUCCCUCCUUGGCCUUGCCCAGCCCAGCCCCACCCCUGUCCUCAGAACCUCACACCUGUCGUUCCCCACCUGGGGUGCCCUUCCCGCUGGCUGGCCCCUCACCUCUCUCAGAUUUCUGCUCUAAUGACAGUAACUGGAGAGGCCUUGCCUGAAGUCCCCUCCUCUUUCUCCUUACCUUGCUUUUUGGUUAUGCAUCCUCCUCCUAAUUGCUUUAUUUAUUUAUGUGUUUAAUCACCAUCCUCUUACUUUUCUAAGGCUCGUCCUGAUUUUUUUCACAUCCUGGUAUCUGAGCCGGCAGUGAUUCUAUACCUGGCAGCAGCCUGUGCGGCAGAGCUGUGUGUAAAGGGGUCCAUGCAGAGCCCUGGGAGAAAGAAAAAUGAAGGGGAAAAGGUUGACCUGAGCUUUUUCACCUGGGGCUGGAAAGUGGACCAGAGCCUAUCAUUCCAACCUGCAGGUGCCUAAGGCCCAACAGAAAGUUCACCAGGAAAGACCAAGAGAAUUGGGGUGACCCUCCCACAGUAUCAGAGGGAAGGGGAGUGGGGAGGAGUACAGCAGUGCAGACCAGCCCCACAGGUGCUUAGCCAGGCCUUUGGUUCUGCCAGGGAAAGGAGGGUGCCUUCCACAGCAUGAAAACUACACCACGUCCCAAUGUGUCCGGGACCUGCCGCCAGCCGCCUGCACAGUAGUCAGGUGGAUGCCACCGGGAUACAGCCCACACUGACUCCUGACCCCAGGGGGUACAGCCCACGCUGACUCCUGACCCCAGGGGGUACAGCCCACGCUGACUCCUGACCCCAGGGGGUACAGCCCACAUUGACUCCUGACCCCGGGGGUUACAGCCCACACUGACUCCGGACCCCGGCGUGGGAGGGGCUGGCCCGAGAUGAAAUCUCGAAGGUGGGUCAGGCUAGGUCCUGGAGUCAGGGGAAGCGUGGGGUUCAGGCCAGGCCUGGGUUCUCCCUGAAGUGAGGCUGACUCUGAGCCUUUCUUGAAACCCCAAAUGUCACAGCAGUGCCCCGAAGGUAGGUGAGGCUCUGUUGCAGGGAAUGCUGAGGAAAAAGGGAACAUCAGGGAUUGGUCUGGCCUGAAGCCUGCACUCCCCUAAAUUAUACCCUGGUAUGAUUUGGGCUUGCCCUGGAGUUACCUCAACUAACCUGGGGUCCUUGGGGGAAACAGAGAUGGACAGGGUUGAUGUAUAUUUCGGGUUGAUUUGGACUCUAAGGAUUAUCCCAGCUCAGACCUCGCUCUCAAGGAAUAGGAGCCUGGCAUCUGUCUAUCACCCCCUUGGCCCUGGGUAUAGUCUGGAUGAGCAGAGGCACGCGUGUGGCCCCAAGAGUCCCACCCUCUGGCUCUCUCCUCCCAAGACAUUCUGGAGCCAUGACAUGUCUCCCAGGAAGGGAGAAUUAUUUUUGUCUGUGGCAUAAAUAAAGCCAGGAAUGAGUUCCAAUAAUCACAAGCACAUGCCAGCAUGUGGAGGCUACUCUGACAGCAGCAGAAGGUUCCAGCACUGCCUGCCCUGCUGGUCCUGGCUGCAGGGAGGUGACCGGGAUGGUCAGGGGUCGGGAGCAGGAGGGAGCCUCCAGGAUUUUAUUUAAAAUGAUCAGGUUUUUCAAACAAAUGGAAAAAUAAAAAAAUCUUGAAAACAAAUCUUUUAAAAAUUUACCCACUUCACUCCAGAUCUUAAGAAAUAAAAAUAAAACAUGACUAUUCCUCUAGAAUCCUGACCCAUACCAUACAACUCUCUUCCCAGAGGUCAUUGCCAACAUCGAUUUCUAUUUAUUUUUCUCAUGCUUGCUUUAAUAUUUCUACUAUAUAUGUAUGCAUCUAUAAAUAAACUCUAUGUGACAUUG
rnacentral:lncRNA from 1 species